rnacentral:rRNA from 1 species
UCAGAUGAACGCUAGCUACAGGCUUAACACAUGCAAGUCGAGGGGCAGCAUGGUCUUAGCUUGCUAAGGCCGAUGGCGACCGGCGCACGGGUGAGUAACACGUAUCCAACCUGCCGUCUACUCUUGGACAGCCUUCUGAAAGGAAGAUUAAUACAAGAUGGCAUCAUGAGUCCGCAUGUUCACAUGAUUAAAGGUAUUCCGGUAGACGAUGGGGAUGCGUUCCAUUAGAUAGUAGGCGGGGUAACGGCCCACCUAGUCUUCGAUGGAUAGGGGUUCUGAGAGGAAGGUCCCCCACAUUGGAACUGAGACACGGUCCAAACUCCUACGGGAGGCAGCAGUGAGGAAUAUUGGUCAAUGGGCGAGAGCCUGAACCAGCCAAGUAGCGUGAAGGAUGACUGCCCUAUGGGUUGUAAACUUCUUUUAUAAAGGAAUAAAGUCGGGUAUGGAUACCCGUUUGCAUGUACUUUAUGAAUAAGGAUCGGCUAACUCCGUGCCAGCAGCCGCGGUAAUACGGAGGAUCCGAGCGUUAUCCGGAUUUAUUGGGUUUAAAGGGAGCGUAGAUGGAUGUUUAAGUCAGUUGUGAAAGUUUGCGGCUCAACCGUAAAAUUGCAGUUGAUACUGGAUAUCUUGAGUGCAGUUGAGGCAGGCGGAAUUCGUGGUGUAGCGGUGAAAUGCUUAGAUAUCACGAAGAACUCCGAUUGCGAAGGCAGCCUGCUAAGCUGCAACUGACAUUGAGGCUCGAAAGUGUGGGUAUCAACAGGAUAGA